rnacentral:tRNA from 1 species
UAGGAUAUAGUAUAAUGGCUAACGAUGCCGCCUCUCAUGCGGCAGCUCGGGGUUCGAUUCCCUGUAUCCGAA